UACGGGGGGGGGCAAGCGUUGUUCGGAAUUACUGGGCGUAAAGGGCUCGUAGGCGGCCAACUAAGUCAGACGUGAAAUCCCUCGGCUUAACCGGGGAACUGCGUCUGAUACUGGAUGGCUUGAGGUUGGGAGAGGGAUGCGGAAUUCCAGGUGUAGCGGUGAAAUGCGUAGAUAUCUGGAGGAACACCGGUGGCGAAGGCGGCAUCCUGGACCAAUUCUGACGCUGAGGAGCGAAAGCCAGGGGAGCAAACAGG
rnacentral:rRNA from 1 species